UCUCUUUCUCUCUCUCUCUCUCUCUCUCUCAAAAAUCAUACUGGUAAUCUCAUAAAUUCUCCUCUCUCUCACUCGACUCUCCACUCUUUCUCGCUCGACUCCCACUUUGAUGAAGACAUGAAGAUUUUGAUCGAUUGUUGAUGAAGAUUUGAAGAUUUCGAUCUGCUGUUGAUGAAGAUUUGGAUCGAUUCAUAAUCGCUCCCAAAUUCUCUUCGACUCAUAGCUUUGUUCGAUUUCGAAGAUCAACAUCAACGGUAACAACAUGAAUUUUUUCCAAUUCAAUUUAUUAUUAUCAAUGCGGUGCAGAUUCUGAUUUCGAAACAUCUUUUUGAUUCGAAGAUUCAUUUUAUUUUUUAUUUUUAUUUUUUUAGAUUAUUAAAUCUUGAUUUGCUUUGGCUUUAAAACUUGAUCUGAGCAUUUCUCUAGAUUGUUUGCUAAAUUUCAUUUAGUUUUUGAACCUCUUGUUUGUAUGCUAAGAAAAUUUUAGGAACCAACCGAAUUUCAAACUUUUAGUAUUAUGCUUUUAUGUUUGUUUGGCUAGAAAACUGAAGCUCACCUCAAUUAAGGUAAAAUAUAUAUAUAUUUGUUUUCCUGUGUCUAUGUUACAUUUUCUUAGCAACCAAACAGAGCAUAAUUUGGUUAAUCUUUGAAUGAUUUUUCUAGUUUAUAGUCUUGUUGUUCUACUUUGAAUUCUUCUUGGUUACAUGUUUUAGUCGUAGUUGAUUUCUAUAUUGCUCUGUUUAAUUUUGAUUUCAAGCUCUCUCUGUAGUUUUCAAUUUCAAUUUAGUUUGAGGAAGCUCAGAAGUAAUUUAGAUCUUGAAUUAAAUGAUGAAUUACUUGGUACUGAUAUCUUUCUCUCUCGUUUUUGAAUUUGAAUUCGAUUCAUAUGGCUAAAUGCAUAGAGUAUUGAAUAUUUGAAUGUGUGUAUCUAUUGUCUUGCAAACAUCUUCGUGUCACAAAUAAUAGUCAUAAAUAGGGAGAUAUUGAUGUUUGUGGUUUGUUGAAUUGAAAUGUUUCACUAUGAAGUGAUAGAUUUGGAAUUGGUAUAAAAAA